rnacentral:misc_RNA from 2 species
UCAACCCUCGAACCUCCGUUUCCUCAGGGAAGCUCAGGGUCGGUGUUGGGGCGCUACGGCGAGUCUUCGCGACCCUCCGUAGGCCCUGAAAUACAGUGGCGGUCCCGCCGCGGUUGCCUUCUGCGUAGUAAGUCUCUUUUGCAAGCUCGCAUUGGGUCCCGGCGGAGGCCUGCCGUCAAACCACCUAUAACUCCAGAUGGU